CUGACCUCGUGAUCCACCCGUCUCGGCCUCCCAAAGUGCUGGGAUUAUAGGCGUGAGCCACGACGCCCGGCCUGUAGCUUCUGUUAUUAACGGACAAGCAAACGCCCCUGCCCGUACACGUUCCUGAAAGAGAACGGUGUGUUACAAAAGUGCAUCUGAGAUACUACUCCUGGAGGCUCUGUCGGAGUGCCCGCGGGCGUGGGCGCGGAGGAAAAGAGGGAGAACCCGUAGGCCCGGCCUCCGUAACCAUAGCUGCGAGGGGGCGGGGACUGUGAGCGCGGGUCCCGGGCCGGGGUGCCGGCUGGGAGAACUCGGUCCUCCACUGACCCAGCCGGCCACGCGCCCGCGGGUCGCCUCCCCGUCCCGCUAGCAGCACGCUGCGUGGCUGCUGGUUGGCUACUUAGGACGGAAGCUCGGUUGGUGUUUCUGCAGAAGUUUCCUCCUUGGGCAGUGGCGGAAUUUCUGAGCGGCUCCGGCGGCAGCAACAGUGACUACGAGGGAUGGCGGUGGCUGCAGCAGGACCUGCAGCAUCCCAGAGGAUAUGUGAAUACCAUUUAAAAAACUAUGCUGCUGCUCUAGAAACUUUUAUAGAAGGACAAAAAUUAGAUAAGAUGAAAAAGUUGUUUAUGGAUAUAUUUACACUAUUAUCUGUAAGUAUAUAAUUUAUCACCUGUAGCCUCUCGACUGCCAUGUAGCUUGGAGAUAUGACAAAACUUUACA